CCGCGGUAAAACCGGUUACUCCUACGGGAGGCAGCAGUGAGGAAUUUUCCGCAAUGGGCGAAAGCCUGACGGAGCGACGCCGCGUGUGGGAAGAAGGCCUUCGGGUCGUAAACCACUGUCGAAGGGGACUAGGUACCCUUGGAGGAAGCCCCGGCUAACUAC
rnacentral:rRNA from 1 species